AGAUUGAACGCUGGCGGCAUGCUUUACACAUGCAAGUCGAACGGCAGCGCGGGGCAACCUGGCGGCGAGUGGCGAACGGGUGAGUAAUAUAUCGGAACGUACCCAAGAGUGGGGGGAUAACGUAGCGAAAGUUACGCUAAUACCGCAUACGAUCUAAGGAUGAAAGCAGGGGACCGCAAGGCCUUGUGCUCCUGGAGCGGCCGAUAUCUGAUUAGCUAGUUGGUAGGGUAAAGGCCUACCAAGGCUACGAUCAGUAGCUGGUCUGAGAGGACGACCAGCCACACUGGAACUGAGACACGGUCCAGACUCCUACGGGAGGCAGCAGGUGGGAAUUUUGGACAAGUGGGCGCAAGCCUGAUCCAGCAAUGCCGCGGUGAGUAGAAGAACGGCCGUUACGGGUUGUAAAGUCCGUUUCUUUUAGGUCGAAGGGUAAAGGAAACGGUUGGGAA
rnacentral:rRNA from 1 species